rnacentral:rRNA from 1 species
UACGAAGGGGGCUAGCGUUGUUCGGAAUUACUGGGCGUAAAGGGCGCGUAGGCGGCCGAUUAAGUUAGAUGUGAAAGUCCUGGGCUCAACCUGGGGACUGCAUUUAAUACUGGUUGGCUUGAAUUCGGGAGAGGAUAGCGGAAUUCCCAGUGUAGAGGUGAAAUUCGUAGAUAUUGGGAAGAACACCGGUGGCGAAGGCGGCCAUCUGGCUCGGUACUGACGCUCAGGUUCGAAAGCGUGGGGAGCAAACAGG